rnacentral:rRNA from 1 species
GUCCAUGGCUAUACCGUCCUGAACACCCCUGAUAUCGUCUCAUUUCAGAAGCUAAACUGGAUCAGGCCUGGGUAAUACUUGGAUGGGAGACUGACUGAGAAUACCAGGCACUGGAGCCU